UACGAAGGGGGCUAGCGUUGUUCGGAUUUACUGGGCGUAAAGCGCACGUAGGCGGAUCGAUCAGUCAGGGGUGAAAUCCCAGAGCUCAACUCUGGAACUGCCUUUGAUACUGUCGAUCUGGAGUAUGGAAGAGGUGAGUGGAAUUCCGAGUGUAGAGGUGAAAUUCGUAGAUAUUCGGAGGAACACCAGUGGCGAAGGCGGCUCACUGGUCCAUUACUGACGCUGAGGUGCGAAGCGUGGGGAGCAAACAGG
rnacentral:rRNA from 1 species